rnacentral:lncRNA from 1 species
UUUCUGCCCUGCCACAACCUGAAGAAUUGAGGAUUGAUGGAAUUCAAAGGAUGAACAGAUACCUGAUUGGUCUUUCUCAUUUGAUGUAGAGCAUUAGAAGAUUGCGCUUUCCUGUCACUACAUGCCCCAUUGCAGACAAACUGCUCCCACCUUGCAGAAUUGGUGGCAUCCUGGGACCUCAGGCAAAAUCAUGUUUCUGCCAAGUCGCUCCACAAUGUAUACACCGUUAGCAGUUACGAGGGAACAAUGUGCCUUCGGGUCAAUAUCCAUUCUAACCACAACAGAAUAUAAGCCUCAUGCUCAGACAGAAAGCAAUGCAUUUGUUCAAAGAUGAAGAAAACAUAAAAGGGGCUGAGGCUAAGGCUGGAGACAGUUUCUGGGCGUUCACAGGUAAGCUGAUACUUUGAGAUUCUUGGAGAUUAGUGUUCUAUCAAACAACAGAACAUCUUUGGCAAGGAGAAACCUAAGGGAUUAAUGGUGAGUUUGGGGUGGGGGAGCUAACCACGAGAGUAUGGGGGACAGAUGUGUGCAGAGGGUGUAAAAGUCAUUCUUCUUGGAGCUGGGAAAAGUUUAGACAUUCUGGGGAUUGAGCCAGC